GGAAGCGUGCCAGAGUGGUUGAAUGGGCUAGUCUCGAAAACUAGUAUACCCGCAAGGGUAUCGGAGGUUCGAAUCCUCCCGCUUCCGCCA
rnacentral:tRNA from 1 species